rnacentral:lncRNA from 1 species
AGCUUAUUUAACAAGGUCAUUAAGGAGAAUGGAAAAUAGAUUCAAGCAAUAUUUUGAUGACAUGAAUUUGUAAUGAUGCUAAACUUCAUGAUUUGCAUGACUUUCUCUUGCUGUGUACAUUACAAAACAUAGAUUAUAAGAUUGAAGCAGACUUUGAGGCUUGGGGUAAGAAAGUGAUGGAAAGAAAUUGAGGGGCUAGAGGGCAAGUAGUUUGCAUUUGUAGCCAUCUAAUUCAGGCAUAGUAGGGAAGGAGGUAAAGAGAGAAGUCUAGUAGCCUGGGAGACAAUGAACAGACCAAUGGACUUUCGCAGUCUUUGAGGAUGAUGUCAGGAUGGGGUAAAGGAGGCAGUAAACUAUGCUCCAAAAUCAUCCCUAAUAGGACAAGACUAUGAAAAUUGUUACAAAGCAUUUAGAGGUAAAUAGCUAGGAAACAAGCAUUUUAUGAGAGCAGGAAAAUUUUACAUAAAGAUUCCAGAAUAAUGAUUUUGUUGAGUUAGUCAAUAACAGAGUCAGUUCACCAAUAUUCUUAUACUGAGAUGUGAGGAGCAGAUGGAAGAAUAACCAUCUUCACUUGAGAUCCUGCAGGGAAAACAGUGUCAUCAGAGGAGAGUUGGGUUCCAGUAAAGAUAGUUGGUUGCAGGAGCAUUCUGUCAAGGUUCAGGAAUAGAUAGUCUAAAAGGUCCAGAACAUAAAAUGAAAAGUUGUUUUGGAGAAGGAUAGCAGUGAGAACUCCAGGUAGACAGAAUCAGUACAGUGGUGUGAGAAUGAGAAUACAGAUGAGGAAGGAACUUGUAAUUUGGUUGAAGACCAAAAUGACAGGUAUGGACUAGAGGAAUAUUGAGAUUUAACUGCCUCAGAUUGAUGUAUAAGUCAAUGGAAAAGUUUAUGGAGCUUUCUUUCAGUAUUGUGAAUUGCAGUAAGGUAAGUCAUGGCACAUAACUUUGUGCAAAGUUUAAGUAAGGAGAACAAACUUUAAGGUUUAGAAUGUUAUAUCAUUUCUGAACACACAAAACAGAUAGGUUUCUCUCUCUGUCCCUCAAUCUCUCCUUUGUUACCACUCAUUAUUGGAUCUUGGGGAUCUUGGAAAGAGCUCGUAAUCUUUAUUAAAGCAUUUAUUUGGAAUUUUGGAAGAUCUUUUAUGAGUAAUAUGUGACUAAAUUUCCAAAUGUCCUAUGUGUGCUUGAAAGGAUUGUGCAUUCUUUAAUUAUUGAGUACAAGGUUCUAUACGG